rnacentral:lncRNA from 1 species
GCUGGGUUUAUUUACUUUUUAAAAAUUGAAGUGUAGUUGAUUUACAAUGGUGUGUUAAUUUCUGCUGCACAACAAAGUGAUUCAGUUUAUAUAUGUAUAUAUACACAUACAUACAUACAUACACAUGUUUUCUUCUCCGUUUUCUUUCCGUUGUGGUUUAUCAUAGGCUAUCGAGUAUAGUUCCCUUUCCUGCACAGUAGUUGUUGACCCAGCAGGGGUGGGUUUUCACAUAGUCUCAGCUUGGGCACAGUGACUCUUAGAGACAGAUCAUGCUCUGGCACGGGCUGGCCUGUGCAUCGCAGGAUGAGUGGCAACAUCCCUGGCCUCCACCUGUGAGGUGCCAGGGGCACACCUGCUCCCCCGCGGUUGUAGCAGUGUGACAUGUCUUCAGACAUUGCCCAGUGUCCCUUGGAGGCAAAGUUGCUCCUGGUUGAGACACUGAUUUAAGGGACGGAGGAACAUGGGGUAAGAAGUUGUAUAUGUAAGUUGGGAGCUUGGGAAGUGAUGGGAGAGGGGCUCAUCCACGUCUGCCCACCCCCACCUCCUUUCCUUCCAUCCUUCCUUCCGCCCACAUCCUGGCACUCACUGACUGAGCACUGCUGCGGACGGUUUAGGGUGAACGUGCAGGGUGUGGACUCCGAGCAGGAAGAGCAGGGUCAGGUCUAUAGAGUUGGCCGGGGUCCGUGGGGGCCGCGUGUUCAGCCCGGGAUCCUGAGGGAGCAGCUGGGGGCAUGACGUCCCCAUCAACCAUCGCUUUCAGAGCACUUGAGCCAAGAGGAGUACGACGCGUCCAGCCAGAGAGGGGGCAUCGUCCAGGAGAGGGAGGCGUCCAGUGGCCGCUACUGUGUGACCCGCAGAGCAGUGGAGGCCCUCAUGGAAAAGAACACCCACGCCCUCCUGGACGUCCGGCUGGACAGAGUCUGUGUCCUGCACAGGAUGUGGAUCUUUCCCAUCAUCCUCCACGUCUCCAUCAACGAGAAGGUGGCAAAGAAACUCAGGUAGGUGCACCCCUGGGGCUCCGCCCCUGCCGCCCUGCCCAUAAGGCCAUGGCGAGCACGGCAAGAGCCCGCGAGGAGUUUCCCAGGAGAAAGGUCCUGCAGCCCACCCCCAGGAACAACCUAGAGGACAGUAAGGGGAGGCCCUAGGUCAUGACUGACCCCAGCUAAGGCCACACGUUUCCUGGGGUACAGCUAACAGUCCAUCCGCGUAAGGGGAUGACACAGACUGAAAACCACUACUUAGUUCACAGCCAGGGACACCCAGACAUGCUGCUGUGCAUUUAUAAUCUGAGAACUGUGGUUGUAAGCGUGGCCCCGCCCCCAUCAGUGCAAGGUCCUCUAGA